AGUGAACGCUGGCGGUAGGCCUAACACAUGCAAGUCGAACGGCAGCACAGGAGAGCUUGCUCUCUGGGUGGCGAGUGGCGGACGGGUGAGGAAUACAUCGGAAUCUACUCUGUCGUGGGGGAUAACGUAGGGAAACUUACGCUAAUACCGCAUACGACCUACGGGUGAAAGCAGGGGACCUUCGGGCCUUGCGCGAUUGAAUGAGCCGAUGUCGGAUUAGCUAGUUGGCGGGGUAAAGGCCCACCAAGGCGACGAUCCGUAGCUGGUCUGAGAGGAUGAUCAGCCACGCUGGAACUGAGACACGGUCCAGACUCCUACGGGAGGAAGCAGUGGGGAAUAUUGGACAAUGGGUGCAAGCCUGAUCCAGCCAUACCGCGUGGGUGAAGAAGGCCUUCGGGUUGUAAAGCCCUUUUGUUGGGAAAGAAAUCCAGCUGGCUAAUACCCGGUUGGGAUGACGGUACCCAAAGAAUAAGCACCGGCUAACUUCGUGCCAGCAGCCGCCGUAA
rnacentral:rRNA from 1 species